CUUCUUACAUGAUCACGAAGGGCUCAUCCAGUGCACUGCGGGUGUGCUGACCCCUGCAAUUGGGAAACUUGACAGCAGAAUGGGUGGUAGUGGGGGGCUGCGUGCGCGCUCUCCCCUG
rnacentral:snRNA from 1 species